rnacentral:lncRNA from 1 species
UUUUUUUUUUUUUUUGUCUCUAUGUAAGCUAUAUCUAUGUAGGUUAGCUCUGUACUUUCUCUAUGUACUUUACUGCGAGAGAGAAGUGUUUGGGGAGAGAGAAACAGGAGAUUUUCUUUUAUAAGGUGGCGACUGUGAGUUUGUAGUAGAAUAAUACUGUUCUGGGAAAAUGGGCUGCGAAAGGUUUGGUGUUGUUUGGACAGAGAUUGUGCAUGGAGAAAUCUUUUUCUGGGAAAAUGAGCUGUGGGAAAUUGUGGUGAGAGAAAGGCAAUGAUAGUGGGGUCAGGUGGUCUAUUCUCUCAGCUCCAGAUUUGGUGGUGUUUGGACACAGAGAAAAAGACACAGAUUUUGUUCGAAGGGUAAAAAUAAACUGAGAUAGUCCUUUUUUGGGAAAUUCGGCUCAGAGGGAGAAAGAGAAAGAUGGUGGGGUUGGGAAGUCUUUUUCCUCAGAAUAAUCAGGCAUGGAGGGUGUAAGGAGAGAGAAACAGAGGCAGAGGUUUUCUUCCAAGAGUGGGGGUUUGUAAUAGAACAAUCCUUUUCCGGAAAAAUAAAGCGAGGAAGUCCUCUCGGGGAAAUUGGGCUAUGGCAAGAUAGAGAAGGUGGGGUCCCAGCCCUUCUCCAUCAAGCCAAGGGUUGGAGGUGUUUGGAGAGAGAAACAGAGAAUCAGAGUUUUUCUCGUGAGUUUCUAAUGGGACUCAUCCUUUUCUGGGAAAAUGGAGGGUGAGAGAGAAAUGUGGGUGGGGUUAUAACCUUAUGUGGGGUGGGCUUGAGGAAUGGGGUUUUGAUAUUGAGAGUGACAGCAAGGUUGAGGCGUAGAGGAGGGUAAGGAAUCGAGCCUCAAUUGGGCUGUCACGCUCUUUUUUUCUGUACAUGGGUAACGCGCUUUCAAAUUCCAGGGCCUUGGAAUUUGAUUUUCCACCUCUUAUUUUUCCUUGGAAAACAGACUGAUUUUCACACGCUGGAUGAUGCAAUGGCGAGGGCAAAUCUGAUAUUAUGUCAAAACCACAGGGCCUUAGUUUUACAUGAAAUUCAGAGUUUCGUCAGCCUCUAAAUGAUCCGGAUUGACACUGCAGCCACUUGAACAUGCUCCAUACAAAUUUCUCUCUCAAGAUAAUUUUAGAUUUUCAAAAGAUAAUUAAAAUUUAGGUAUUAGAGUGAACCUAUAUCAUGGAUAUAACAGAGUCAAUCCCGAUCCCAAUAUGAAAUUUUAAGUUACCACUUUGACCGGUUCUCGAAUUCAUGGGAUGCAAGAAGGAUGUUGUGUUAUGAUAUUUCAUAUCGCUUUUAAGGUAUAAAAUUUUUGAUAUUGCAUAAUAGACUCCAGUUUAGUAUGUAAAUGUAUUUAGAAACCGUCGUAGUCCAUUGGACUCGAAAUGAACGAUAUUUAUAUGGGAAAGAUGUGGGUAAGUAGGCAUGAUACAUUGGACCUAAUUCAAUCUAUUUCAUGAUAAAAAAAAAACUUCAAAAUUAGUUUAGCACAUGAGAGAAACAGGCAUGAAAACGUGUGGCUAUGUGGGAAUGAAGAAAACAAAAUAAAAAAUAGUCAUAGCCAACUAGCUUUGACUUGUAUGGGAUGAUGAGUUGGGAAGAUUCAAGGUAGUUGCAAAACGGGAUCUAUCCUUCUAUGAACACCUUUUCAUAAUGAAGCAGAACAAGAACUCUAGAGAAAAAGGAGAGAGACAUACUUCUCCUGGGAGCUUCAACAUCUCCAUGGCUUUGUUCUUCAACUUCUUCAGCUGUUUCUCAGAAUCUUCAGAAGCCUCAGCCCACACAUGUGAAGGUGGUGUUUGUAGAUUAAGCGACAGAAAGAUCCAUGGACAAACCUCCAAGAAGAAGAAGCAACACAGGGCAUGCGUUUGGAAUUCAUUUCCUGGCUUUUUGAUGAAAAGGGGUUGAAGGGUUUUUCUUUCUUCUGUUUUUCAUUUUUUUUCCUGGGAGUAUCAAAAUCAUGUAGCAUAUAUAUACGAUUAGCUAGAAGAUUGAAGGGCAUGAAGGAUCUGAAGUUGAAGUUGCACAAAGGGUCAGGAAUGUGUUUAUGAGGAUAUGUCUCUUUCUCUCUCUCUGUUUUUCCUUCUUGUUGAAUUGGCUACAUGAUUCCUUGGUGCCAAUGUUGUAGAUCACAUUCAGCCAAUUAGGCCAAGGAAUGAAUCAUUCAUGUAAUGGGCUUCUUUAUGAGAAAUGAAAUGGCAUGCCAAUUUACAGACAAAAACAACAUCAAAAAAGGAAGCCAGUAACAUUGCAAAUUCAUUUUCUUCCUAAAAAAAUGGGUUGGUUUUCUGUUUCCCAUCAGGGAUUUUCGUUUUCCCAUCAGACGAUAGCCAUCAAUGCAAAAUCCAUUUACAUAUCCAAGAGACAAAUUCCCACAAGGCCAUACUAUUUCUGUCAAUAAACAUCAUUCCAAUAAAAUUGGGAAACCACAGAAGUGACAAUUUAUAGAGAGAGAGAGAGAGAGAGAGAGAGAGAGAGGCAUAUCCAUUAGAAUGAUCACAUUCCAGGAACAACCCAUUUGCAGGAAACAAGAGAAUUAAAGCACAAAAUAGAUAAAAAGCAGAUCUCCUUCCCCAUUUUGAGAAAUUAUAUUCUAUCACAUGUACAUAAUGGCGCUAGCAGAUGCAAGAAAAAGAUUUUGAACCAUCAAAGCAAUUACAUAAAAUGCAUAUUACACCUGAAAUCUAAAUAAUUGAUCCUCAUCCGCCUGUAAUUGAUGUACAAUGCAUCAACUGGGAGUUUUUAUGUGUAAAUCUGGAGACUAAAAACUUGUAAAUACCCAAUAAAAAUCACAGUACAAAUCAUCCUCGUAUUCUCUUCUAAGGUUCUAGAUUUUCUGAGAAAACAUGAAUGUGGCCGCUGCAAAGUCAGUAGUCCUCAUUUGGAAAUGAAGAUUAAAACAAGUAGCUCUGCUUGCAAUUAUCUUUCCUUGGAUCCCGUAGAAUCGCAUCUGGAGCAUGCUACCAAAUUUUGAAUUCAUCUGAGUUGAACAAGUCCAUUUUAUCCAUGAGUAAAUCACAGUCCAAGACUUGAACCAAGUCAUCUCAAAGUUUUUGACCCAGACCGAAAAUGAUGUAUCCAAGCAGGGGCUUCUUUCACUUGUGAUGCAACUAAGCAGAGACAAAAUUUCACAUCCUGAGAUGAGUCACUCUGCUUUCUCUUCCCUUUUUGACAUAUUUCUUGAACAAAUGCCCACUUAGAGUUGCAAAGCCAGGUCAGGCUGCUGAGAAUCAACCAGAACGCCUGAAGACUGUCUCACUGGAGACCCUGAUGGUUGGAAACCAAUAUUCAAGUCUGGAGGAAGUGUUUCCUGUCUAUGCCUUGGCUGGGUAUUUGGAUUAAGACCUUGCCAAGGCGACUGCAUCUGAAAUCUAGACAAGUCAGCCGUCACUAAUUGAGGGAAAAUCACUGGUCUGUUUUGGAACUGUGCUUCACCUAUUCGAACAGGCUGUGGAACAAAGGCCUGAAGUGGAAAACUGUUCUUCUCGGACUGAAAAUGCAUCCCACCAGAAACAGGAAAUUCACCUCGAAAUCGUGUAACUUGUGGGUGGAGCUCCCUCGUUGGAUUGUAUAGGGAAUCUGCAGAAAUAUGAUUUUUGGGUGUAAUUGAAUUUUCUGCAACUGGUUUAAACCCUCCAGCCCCUAUGGACAUCCAUGCCCGUGCUGCAGUAGCUGCAGCAUUGCUUGAAUCACUUCUUGGGGAUGGGAUUGAUGGCAUAGCAGGUGGACUAUCAACUGGGGAAUGAUUUGAAGAUUUUUGCUGCUUUUGAGCCUUUUCAGCUAAUUUCCUCAUCAACUGAACUGGGUCACUGAGACCCUGCUCUGCUCCAUGGGGAAGGUAAGUAGGCACUCUAGCCAGUUGACUCGGAACAGUAUCAGAGGCAGAACCAAUCAUUUUAUUACCAUCUAUUCUACUUGAGGGUUUUCCAUUGGUCAAUCCUCCUGCAACAACCCCAUUAGUAUCUGGCAGCUUAAAGGGUAGCGACUGCAAAAUAUUCCUGCUUCUUGACACAGCCUCCAUCGAUCUGGGAGUUGCAGCCUCUGAACCAUUCAGGAGCUGCUUUUCUGAAACAAGAUCUGCAUGGUUUUGACUGGCUGAGGGUGGGCAAUUCAAUUCAACUUGCUUUAAAACCUUUUUCUCAGGCUGGGUAAAAUUCCUGGAUAGUGGGUUUUGCUGCUGAUUACCGGUAUUGACAGGGGGAGUGGAUUUUGUUCCAGCAGAACCAAACAAAGGUUGUUUCCUUUCUGUAGUAGGUGCACUAGCAGGACAAAAUAAAGAUUGCUUCCCUUCUAAAGUAGGCCCACUAACAGAAUGCUCCUUGGCAGGAACUGGGGGUUUAGAAAUUUUUUCAUCCUUCCGCAAAACAGCAUUAUGCUGCAACUUUGGAACCAAAAAAGGUUCCUUUUGUAUGCGAGUUUCAAGCAUUAAAACUGGGGUCGGAAGUGGCUCAAAUUCUCCAACCCACCCACGACCAAAUUUGGACCCCACAGGAAGUGCCUGCUCAAUCCUCUGGGAGGCAACUUUCCAAGCAACAGGUCCAAGAGUAGCAGCAAAACGAGCUAGGCUCCUAGCAUAAGAAUGAUCUGCAUGAAGCCCAACCUGAUUCAGAAAAAGAAACUGAUGAGUACAAAUGCAGAGCAUUCAAGGGGAGAUGUAAAUUUAUUGGCUACAUACAGCAACCAGUUGUUUGGCUUCAGCCUCAAAGGUAUUAAAUAUUGUCUCAGAUCCAACAAUUGGUUGAUUGGAUAUGCUAUAUGUUGCACGACGGUUCUCAUCAACCACAAAUGGCUUCCUCCCGAAUUUAGAAAGGAGACCCUUUCCUAAAACAAUAAGGCAAUCCAACAAUUAGAAGGCAACAACAUGAUCAUGAUAACAUAAACUACUAAAUGGAAUAUCUAGGGAUAAUAAAACAAAAAACAAUAGUUGUCAACUUGUAAAUGGUAUCAGAUAAGAUUUUCCUAUUUCUCAGUAUCAAGCACUAUAUCGUAUCAUGUAUCAUAAGUUCUUUUACAAAUUGGAAAAUAAAAACAAAAUGGUGAUUAGUGCACAUGCAUAUUAUAAGACUGAAGCAUAAAGCAAUAUAUAACUAAUUUCACAACAAACAAUAGGGCCAAAAGAGGCAAAUUUAGGCAUUUAUGAAUAUCAUACAAAUAUGGUUUUGAUGAAACCAACUUAAAAAGAUAUAAUAUUUUAAUGCAUAAGUUCAUUGUUAAACCACCCAAUAAACUAAGCUUUAGGUAUAACUUUGAGUUCCUAAUUCCAAUUAAACAGUUAACAAAUAUCGCUAUGCUAAAAAAUUAAAGUUCUAUAAGUCUCCAACCAAUAUGCUAGAAAAGGAAGAAUGGUCACUUACAAUAACUGUAUAACUAUGUACUUGUAUAGACUGAUGAUAUACACAUGUUCACAUGUCAUGUUCAGAUUCAACAUCCAAAAUGCAUUUCUGCAUCCUCUUAAAAGGAGAAAACAAACUCUAGAAAAAAAAAAACUGAUAUAGUAAGUAAAGGUCAUCCCUCUUCUUUCAUCAUUCUCGAGGUCAACCCUUUCACUGGAACUAUAUUUAAACUUCAAUCUUCCAUGCGCGCUUUCAAGAACACAUUUAUAAUGUGCAUAUAAUCAUUCUCGCCCUUCCUUCAAUUUUUUUGUCAUCUAUUUUUAAUCUUUUUAUUUUAUAGGGAAAUGAAAUAGAAUUAUAUCACCUACACUUAAGAUGCAACAAGUAGCUGUAGACACACUGUUUUGCAUUACACGCUCACUCACCAAAUCAUAUUUGUCAUAUUGUGGACUGCAAGUUUCUAACAACCAUGCAUAAAAUCUUAAUCAGGUAUUAUAAUGUUUUUGAUUAGCAACCUUACAAUGUUGAACAGCCUUAUAUCCAGCAAGUUCCUUUGGGUUCAUUCCAUCUUGAAAUAAUUGAGUUAUUAUCAGAUAGUCCAUGGAAUUGGACAAAACUUUGAGAAUCUAAAGCCUUGUCGGGAUUGAUUUAAAGGCCUCAAAAUCACUUUUGCAACAAUUUUUUUUUACAUAUAUUGUAAUUGGUAAACUAACAAGUGAUUGCUAAAGAAUCUAACCCACUUUGGCAACAGUUUGAAAAUGCAGGUAAAAGAUAGCUUUCCAAAAAUAAUUUUCAAAGAAUAAGACUUUUUACCUUAAAUUGCCUAUUAUGUCUUCAAAAAAUUUCAUUUUAUGAUUUUUUUUUUCUUUUUUACAUAUUUUUCUCUCUCGUGAUCUUCUAAUCCAAAACCUUGUCUCAUGGGAUUUAUAUUUUAAGCUAGUCAUUAUAAAAGAAAACAAAUCUAUUUACAAAUAAAUUUACUUGAAUUCACUGGAAAUAAAACAUAAGUCUUUCAAAAUUAAAAUUGAAAAUAGGAAUAGUAAUAAUUGAAUUUUAAAUAAUUACUUGAAUACACUUAAAAUAAAAAGAAUAGUAAUAAUUAAAUUUCAAAUUUUUAACAUUCUUAUUUUGAUCACUAUACAUGUUUGCAGCAACGUGGUAUUCUAAUUAACCAAAUACUUAAAUCUUAUUUUUAAAAUAUACAGCACUUUUAACUGAUUUUUUCUUUAGACACGACUAAAAGCGAUUUUCCUAAAAGUUGUGGCAAUACCAAACUAGCCCUAACUCUAUGGAUGUAAUAAUCACAACUAACAAGAAGUCAUGAAACCCACUAGCGCUCUUUUAAAUAGCUUUGAAAUUAUACAUAAUUGUAGAAAAUAACCACUUUGUACAUACCUGAGAAUAGUUCUUCUGCCUUCUCUAGAUUAUUAUCAAUCUGGGAAGGAUUACUCUCUAUUAUAAGGCCAUCAACAUUGCUUGGCCUUUCACAACCACCAGCUUGGGUUGCAUUAAAACCAUUCUGGACAUCUCCCAUUGUGGCAAGAGUGGCACCUGACGAGAAAUCGGAGCCAACAGGUUCCUGUGCAGUCCGGAAAAUCGGCUUCUUUAUUUGCUUCUUCACCAAGGGGUUGGAUCUCAUUUUCUGUUCUGAUUUGAGAUCUUUCUCAGAUCGUUCUGGCUUGAGCUCUUUCUCAGAGCGUUCGGACUUGAGCUCUUUCUCAAAGCGCUCCGGCUUGAGCUCUUUCUCAGAGCGUUCUGACUUGAGCUCUUUCUCGGAGCGUUCUGACUUGAGCUCUUUCUCAGAGCGUCCAAUGUCAAUUCUUAACUUCUGGAAUUUCUUUCUUGCCAGCUCUUGAAUGGCGCGUGCCUUUCCAUUAUAGUUUAGUAAUAACAUUAAAUACCGACUAAGCCCGCAAAACAAAAGCAAUUGAAGAUGAUUAAAAUAAAGGGGCCAAAAGCCUUGUACCUGUUUAUGGUAUAUGGUAUCUGGGGCAUUGUAUUGCAUUGCAUUGGUGCAAAUCAGAAAAACGUCACUCUACAUUCAAGAAAACCAAUUUUACAAGCCAAUACAUAUAAAGAGUCACACUUUUCUAUCAGAACAUGGUUUCUUGGGAGAAGGAAUUCAAAUUCAAAUCAAGCAGGUUACUCAAGAAAGAAAAUGGAAAACACGCAUACACACAUGCAGCACACAUGGAUGCAGGCAUGCACACACACACCACACACAAAUGCAGGCAUGCAUGCAAACAAGCUCAUGCACACACAAAAGCCUUCUUAAUUACCAAAACACCGCAAAAAUAUAUGCUUAUAUCCACAUUCUUUUAAUAAAAAUGUAUAAUGACCUUUAAGGAACCUUCUUCCAUACCUAGAAAAAGUGCAUCCUGUAGCAUAUCCUUCAGAAGGAACUUUAGAAAAUGAAAUACUGCAGUUCUUUUAACAUUUGAAAAAGAUUUUGCCUCAGUUCCAUUGGAGUUUGGACUUGCUUCAUUUUAUGUAUAAUAGGGGUUCCACCAUUUCAAUGCUAUUGUCCAUAUAACAUAGGAUCACACCCUCAUCAAUGUAGUUGGACAAUACAUUGAUAUGGUCUAUGUGGAUAUUAUCCAAAUACCAAGAGUUAGGGAGCUGAGAUGCAUUACCUCAGAAAUGAUUUAUUUUAAGAAAAAAAUUUGUCCAACCAAGAAACAGAAUGGUAACCACAAAUAUGGAGAAGGAUAUGUAGAAAUACGAGGAAAGGUAAUAUCAGAAAAUGAAAAAAUCAUUUUGCAAAUGUUUAGCAGAGAAAUUUGCUAAUUUAGCAAAGUUAACAUCCAAUUAUUCUGUGCCAGUUAUUAAGCUGAGAGCAACCCUAGGAUGUUAAACCAUCAAAUCAAAACCAACAGAGAAGACAAGUUUCAUUCUAGUAAUCCAACAAAAUAAGGUGCCAGAUCAUAUGAUAGCAUCAUCAGAUUAAACUUUUGGCACUGGAGCAAACAUCAGUAGAUGACAAAGCAAAACCUACUAUUGACAAACACUAAGAAAAAGUGCUUGGUUUGGAAGUAAGUGAUGGGAUUGAAAGACCAAAUUUGAGAAUUACAUUAGGAAGGAGUAUAAUCUAUGAUAUGAGGAUGCUUGCACUAGCAAAAUUAGUAUGCCAGACACAUUGUGCCUGUGAAGGUCUCAACAUAAGUGCAAAGCCACAAGUUUGCAUUUGCCAUCCUCUCAUGACACAUAAAUUUAAUAUUUGAACCAGUAAAAUGGAAAAAUAAAAAUAAAAAUAUGAAUCCCUACAUGCAGCACCCUACCAAGAGGGAAAACACAGUAAACGACAAUUCAAAACUAAGGGCUGGCCACCUUCUAAACUGGUUAUUCACAAGUCAACCAAACAGGUUAUAUCUUUCUUUGACCAUGUGCACAAACACUCCUAUAGAGGAGUUACAUUGAUAUUAUCGAUGUAGUUGCCUAAGCUUAUCAGUGUCAGAUUCAAAAUAGCAGGCUUCCAUGAGCAAUUAGUAUGUCAGAUGCAUUGUCUGUGUGAAGGUUUCCACAUACAGGCACUGUCCAUCCAAAGGUUUCCAUAUGCAGGUACAUGUGGAGUAAAUCAAUGUCUUUUUGUUGUUUCUCACUUUUCAAUUACGCAACAGGAAUACUUAUAUACAAAAACACCAAAAAGCAGCAAAACCAAGUUAUGGAGGUAUAGAAGCCUCACUCAAAUGGUCAAAAAUAAGAAACAAAAAGAAAGAUAAAAGAAGCAUAAACAUAGAUGACUGGCAGCUUGACAGGCAUAUUAGCCCCCACAACACCCCAAGCCAUCCACAAAAUCAAGGAAAGAAACUCUCAUACCCAGAAGAGCCUCUAGCCACAAACACAGCCAACUUAAGACAAUAUCUUUAGUUUUGGAGCUGAAAAUUCUAACCUUCAAUUAGGUUCCUUCCAAAAUUCACUGGGCCUCAUGGAUUAGGAGUAUUCUCCAUGCCUACCUUCUCAUUUAUGGAAAAUUUUCCCAUGCCAACACAACAAAGCUGCUUCAGUGACUUUGAUAAAAUCCAAAUAAUCCUAGAAUGAGGGGAAAAAAUCACAGGAAAGGUCUCCAGCUACGGUACGGUGAAUUGAAAGGUAACCGGAAGACACCUUGUCCCACUUGUACAUCAAAACCAGUUUGAAAGGAACCUCUCUAUGUUAAAGUUGAUUAAUAGUAUGAUCCUUUCCUAAACUGCAGGCCAAAUGAAAACACCAGUUUCGACGGAAAUCCCCAUAAAUAAUUUACCAGAUAUUUUAUUGAUAAUCAUAAAUGUAUUUCUGCAUAUGGAACAGCAAAAUAACUCCUUUCAGAACAAACAUUUGGAAGAAAGAAAAAUGAACACAGAGAGAAAAUACAUGUAAACUGGGGUUAUAAGAAAAACCCACUUUUCAUGGUAACAAAUGGCAUCCAUGAGCCAGUAAUCACAUCAAAUACACCUUUCCCACCUAAAUACCACAGAUGCAAUAUUAAUUAAGAAAGUGAAGCAACAAAGGGAGGAUUAACCACCACAGUUAUUGAUUACAAAUGACAUGCCUGAUUGAUUGAGGAAAAACGAUUAAUUUUAGACAGCAUCAAAUGCAUGCAUUUAACAACUAAGACCCAUAAAAUCUGCUAAAUAUGGAACAUCACAAUCCAACUCAUCUCCAACAUAAAGAAGAAAUCACAUAUCUCUUAGACCAAAACAGGUGCAUUAAAUGAAGCAAAUGCAAGUUAUAGUUACCUCAAAUUCCUCAAAGGUACGAUAUGACCCAUUCCCAAGUUUCUUCCUCACUGUCGCGAAGUCCAUUGGAUGCUCAAUCACAUCAUGAUAAUCAGGCAGCUAUAAGAACCAACACAAGUUAUAGACUCCAAUGCAAAUAAUGUCUUCAAAUUACAUAAAGCAAAUUAAGAGAGUAUUUCAAACACCUCUUCAGGAUCCACUGGUUCUGCAUAAACACCAUAUAUAUCUUUCCUGCCACAAUUCCAAACCAAAACAAAUUGUAUAAUAAGCAACACAUUAUCUGACAAAAGAUAACAUUCAUAUAAAUAAAGGAGUGCAUCGCCUACUUCUGAAGUUUGUCAAGAAUCAACUCCAGUGACUUCUUAUCAGGCAAUGGAAUCCCAGAUGAAACCUCUGCUGGCGUACCUAAACAAAUCAACCACCCAAGAUCAAAUUCCAAUAUCAUCGGAGAAAACCAAGCAAAACCCAUAAAUCAAAACCAAAAUACAAUAAUAAUAACAAACCUAGAACAGAGUCCAUCCCUUUUGAAUCCGCCUUUCGUCCUCUUUCCUGUCAAAAUCCACAGAACCCCAAACUUAAACCCCACCAACGCAAACAAAUACACUUAUGUCUGAAGCAGGAAGAAGGUAUGAGAAAAAAAGUAGACACAGACAGAGAGAGACAGAGACAGAGACAGAGAGAGACAGAUAAGCAGACAAACAAAGAGAAAUAUAUAUAUAGUUAGAGAGAGGGUAGAGAGAGAAAGGUGGUGGCGUGAUCAGAUUCUGUGGGGGUCGUUUUGACAGUUGACCCGACCGUUAAAACCACGCCCACCUCUCUCCCGACAGUGAGAUUUAGAGAGAGAAAGAGAGAGCAUUAUACAAGUCCGGACCAAUUACAAAAAUCUCAGUGAUUUCAGCUGAGCUGGACACUUCCCCCUCUCUCUCUGGCAAAGCCAAUACUCAGAAUCCAAACCCUCUAUUGCUCAGUUCUCUCUCAGCUCACUUCGCAUUUUCCCGCUUCCAG